rnacentral:rRNA from 1 species
GACGAACGCUGGCGGCGUGCCUAAUACAUGCAAGUAGAACGCUGAAGCGAGGAGCUUGCUCUUCUUGGAUGAGUUGCGAACGGGUGAGUAACGCGUAGGUAACCUGCCUUGUAGCGGGGGAUAACUAUUGGAAACGAUAGCUAAUACCGCAUAACAAUGGAUGACACAUGUCAUUUAUUUGAAAGGGGCAAUUGCUCCACUACAAGAUGGACCUGCGUUGUAUUAGCUAGUAGGUGAGGUAAUGGCUCACCUAGGCGACGAUACAUAGCCGACCUGAGAGGGUGAUCGGCCACACUGGGACUGAGACACGGCCCAGACUCCUACGGGAGGCAGCAGUAGGGAAUCUUCGGCAAUAGGGGCAACCCUGACCGAGCAACGCCGCGUGAGUGAAGAAGGUUUUCGGAUCGUAAAGCUCUGUUGUAAGUCAAGAACGGGUGUGAGAGUGGAAAGUUCACACUGUGACGGUAGCCUACCAGAAAGGGACGGCUAACUACGUG